rnacentral:pre_miRNA from 1 species
UCAUUUAUUGAGUUUUGCUUGAUUCUAGGCUCAUUCCAAGUAGUAAAGGGCGUAAUUUGGUCCAAAUUGACAUGUGAAAAUAAUUGUUUUUUAACCUUAGAAUCAAGCAAAACUCAAUAAAUGAGU